GGCACAAGUAGGCUAUCAUUUAAGUUUUGGAGGAGUUGAAAGUUACAUACUUAAGUGUAGAUUUCAACGGAGCGGGGGUCAGUGUCUCUAACCCCUUCAUUGUUCAAGGGUCAACUGCAAUUUUGUUUUAACAAAUGAUCUGAAUUUUACAAUCAGAUCUUCUACUCUGAAGCACUAGCUUAAAACCCCCAUCACUAGAAAGCUCCAGGUCUGCUCGGUAAGGUGCUGUCACCUUUCUAGAGUUUAUCUGUGUGCAGGGGAGUUACAAUGCUGAGCUAUCUGUCUGAGGGUAAUCACAAGCACCUGAAGAAUAAGAACACAGAAUGGAAAAGACUUUGGAUAAUGCUCUCUCACCACUCCAUCCCCUCUGCAAAGCCAUGUAACUCGUUUGAUGUGCUAUUCACAGUACAUGGAUUUUUUUCAGGUCCCUUGGAGAUGAUGUCAUAGUGUAAAGCUAUAAUGCACUGAGAAAUAAAGGAACAAUAGAUUUCCAUGACUUU